GACGAACGCUGGCGGCGUGCUUAACACAUGCAAGUCGAACGGUAAGGCCCUUCGGGGUACACGAGUGGCGAACGGGUGAGUAACACGUGGGUGAUCUGCCCUGCACUUCGGGAUAAGCCUGGGAAACUGGGUCUAAUACCGGAUAGGACUCCGGACUGCAUGGUCUGGGGUGGAAAGCUUUUGCGGUGUGGGAUGGGCCCGCGGCCUAUCAGCUUGUUGGUGGGGUGAUGGCCUACCACGGCGACGACGGGUAGCCGGCCUGGGAGGGUGACCGGCCACACUGGGACUGGGAUACGGCCCAGACUCCUACAGGAGGCAGCAGUGGGGAAUACUGCACAAUGGGCGCAAGCCUGAUGCAGCGACGCCGCGUGAGGGAUGACGGCCUUCGGGUUGUAAACCUCUUUCAGCAUCGACGAAGCGAAAGUGACGGUAGGUGCAGAAGAAGGACCGGCCAACUACGUGCCAGCAGCCGCGGUAA
rnacentral:rRNA from 1 species